CUAGACAGGUGGGCCUCGAUCCCACAAUAAUUUAAUUAACAGCUAAACACCCUAAACCAGCGGGCUUCCAUCUA
rnacentral:tRNA from 1 species